rnacentral:SRP_RNA from 2 species
GCCGAGUAGCUUGUAACUCGAGUGGGGGCACUAAGGUGAUGUUGACGCCGUUGUAGCGUUGCGGGCCUGGUCUGGGAGUGCUACUGCUGGCCCGCCCGUUUCAAGUUGCAUAGUGGACCGGCUGGGGCCUAUGCGAAAGCUGGGCCUCACGUUCUAUAAUGUGGUAGGCACAGCGUGAGGCUGGCUUCACAGAGCAGCGACAAGUGCCCGCUUCCAACGGUGGAAGGAUAACGGACCGCUGCACUCCUUGACAAUUUUGAAUUUUCACUUUGUACAUUUGACUUC